GGGAGGAGUUGGGGGAACCGGCCACGGGGUAGCAGAUAAAAGUGAAGCUGGGAAGGUAGCCUGACUGGGAAGGGCUUUGAAUGCAAUGGAAAGAAUCUGGACCCGAGGCAAUUCCAUCUCUGCCUUCCAGAUGAGGAAACAGGUUCACAGAAGUCAGGACCUUUGCUGAAGCCACAUGCACAGAGUAAUUAUGAAGGACUUUCCUCAUCCAGUGGACACAACUCAUUCAGAAGGAAGCAGUCUGUUCAACAAAAUUCUCCAGGGGAAGUUGCUCUCCCAGGUUUUGCAGCGGGUGGGGACUCUGAGCGAGUGAGACACAUUUCUACAGCUUCCAGCCUGCACAGGACCGCAAUGACAUCGCUGUUGUGAUGACGACUUACCCUUCUCAAGUGCUUAUCACCCUGGGAGGUGCUUAACUUGGCAAAGUCGACACAGAAGGACGUC
rnacentral:lncRNA from 1 species